ACCUGGGUGGCUCAGUCGGUUGGGCAUCUGACUUCGGCUCAGAUCAUGAUCUCACAGUUCGUGAGUUCAAGCCCCACAUCAGGCU
rnacentral:tRNA from 1 species